UGGAGUGACUGUAGGGAGGAUGC
rnacentral:miRNA from 1 species